rnacentral:rRNA from 1 species
GUGGGGAAUUUUGGACAAUGGGCGAAAGCCUGAUCCAGCAAUGCCGCGUGCAGGAUGAAGGCCUUCGGGUUGUAAACUGCUUUUGUACAGAACGAAACAGUCUCUCCUAAUACGGGGGGCGAAUGACGGUACUGUAAGAAUAAGCACCGGCUAACUACGUGCCAGCAGCCGCGGUAAUACGUAGGGUGCAAGCGUUAAUCGGAAUUACUGGGCGUAAAGCGUGCGCAGGCGGUUUUGUAAGACAGAUGUGAAAUCCCCGGGCUCAACCUGGGACCUGCAUUUGUGACUGCAAAGCUAGAGUACGGCAGAGGGGGAUGGAAUUCCGCGUGUAGCAGUGAAAUGCGUAGAUAUGCGGAGGAACACCGAUGGCGAAGGCAAUCCCCUGGGCCUGUACUGACGCUCAUGCACGAAAGCGUGGGGAGCAAACAGGAUUAGAAACCCCAGUAGUCC